UACAGAGGCCUCGAGCGUUAGGCGGAAUCACUGGGCUUAAAGCGCGUGUAGGCGGAUCGUUAAGUACCUUGUGAAAUCCCACGGCUCAACCGUGGAACUGCUGGGUAUACUGGCGGUCUUGGGCCAUCUAGGGGUCGCCGGAACAAGCCGGUGGAGCGGUGAAAUGCGUAGAUAUCGGAAGGAACACCAGUGGCGAAAGCGGCUUCCUGGUCCAGCACCGACGUUCAGGCACGAAAGCGUGGGGAGCAAACAGG
rnacentral:rRNA from 1 species